GACUCUCGAUAACGAAUAUCUCAGCUCUCACAUUAAUGAAGAAUGUAGCAAAAUGCUAUACUUAGUGUGAAUUGUAGAAUCCCGUGAACCAUCGAGUCUUUGAACGCAAGUUGCACCCAAAGUCAUUAGGUUGAGGGCACGUCUGCCUGGGCAUCA